GUGGGGAAUCUUAGACAAUGGGGGCAACCCUGAUCUAGCCAUGCCGCGUGAGUGAUGAAGGCCUUAGGGUUGUAAAGCUCUUUCAGUGGGGAAGAUAAUGACGGUACCCACAGAAGAAGCCCCGGCUAACUCCGUGCCAGCAGCCGCGGUAAUACGGAGGGGGCUAGCGUUGUUCGGAAUUACUGGGCGUAAAGCGCACGUAGGCGGAUCGGAAAGUUGGGGGUGAAAUCCCAGGGCUCAACCCUGGAACUGCCUUCAAAACUAUCGGUCUGGAGUCCGAGAGAGGUGAGUGGAAUUCCGAGUGUAGAGGUGAAAUUCGUAGAUAUUCGGAGGAACACCAGUGGCGAAGGCGGCUCACUGGCUCGGUACUGACGCUGAGGUGCGAAAGCGUGGGGAGCAAACAGGAUUAGAAACCCUGGUAGUCC
rnacentral:rRNA from 1 species